UCCAUAGACACUGAACCAGAGCCAAAAAAGUCUCCCGGACGUGACGGUGACAUUGGUAUUGGCUACGGUUGCAUUGCUGUGGGUGCUGCGUAACUAGAGAAAUAUGGACCGAUCAAUACAAGUUCAAGACGAGCCGGGAGAGGACGCAGCAGUCGGAC